UUUUGAACCCAAAAGAAAAAAAUGAAUUGAAAAUGGGUAAUUACCAGAUUGUGUAAGAAAUACAAAUCGAGAGAGGCCGGUGCCGGAAAAACGCAGAUCACCCAUUGUCAAUAGUGCAAGAGGGGUGAAAAAGGUGAAUUCUGAUCCCUUCCCAAGAAUCUAACCCUAACCAAACAAUUAAAAAAAAAUCCCCCCAAAAAAGCGUAAAGAGUAAGCAAACAGUUCUGCUAUCAGUCCAAAUUUAUGCAUACUGAUACAGAUAUUCUAGAACUUCAGAACGCUGAGCAAACUUGCACUGACGUUCCCAUGGCUGAAUCUACCGCUAACAGUCGAACUCGAGACCUUGACAGACUUCUUUUGCGUCCUGGUCACCUUGUUGGACCCCAUUUCCGACCGGGUCCGGAGUUGAGGGAUGAUAUUAAGGAGUAUGCUAGUGUUUUGGUGGUUGGAGCUGGUGGGUUAGGGUGUGAAUUGUUAAAGGACUUGGCUUUAUCUGGGUUUAAGAAUCUUCAAGUUAUUGAUAUGGAUCGUAUUGAAGUCACUAAUCUCAAUCGUCAGUUCUUAUUCAGGCUUGAAGAUGUGGGGAAGCCAAAGGCUGAGGUGGCUGCAAAACGUGUGAUGGAAAGAGUUAGUGGUGUCAAUAUUAUUCCACAUUUUUGCCGGAUUGAGGACAAGGAUAUGGAUUUUUAUGAAGAUUUUGUCAUAAUUGCUCUUGGGCUGGACUCUGUUGAGGCACGCAGCUAUAUUAAUGCAGUGGCUUGUAGUUUUCUAGAGUAUGAUGAGAACGACAACCCAAAAGAAGAAACUAUUAAGCCUAUGGUUGAUGGUGGGACUGAAGGUUUUAAGGGUCAUGCUAGAGUGAUCCUUCCAGGAGUGACACCUUGUUUUGAAUGUACCAUCUGGCUUUUUCCUCCUCAAGUCAAGUUCCCAUUAUGCACUCUUGCAGAGACACCUAGAACUGCUGCACAUUGUAUAGAAUAUGCCCAUCUAAUAAAAUGGGAUGAGGUUCAUAGUGGCAAACCUUUUGAUCCCGAUGAUCCAGAGCAUAUGCAAUGGGUCUAUAAAGAGGCUGUUAAGCGUGCUGAGCUUUUUGGCAUUCCUGGCGUCACAUAUUCUCUGACUCAGGGAGUUGUAAAAAAUAUCAUACCAGCUAUUGCUUCAACUAAUGCUAUCAUAUCUGCUGCUUGCGCACUAGAAACUCUGAAGAUUGCAUCUGGAUGCAGUAAAACAUUGUCCAAUUAUUUGACGUAUAAUGGUGUUGAAGGUCUACACAUGAAAGUGACAGAGUUUGUGAAGGAUAAUGACUGUCUUGUUUGUGGUCCUGGAGUCCAAGUUGAGUUGGAUUCUUCUUGCACUCUCCAAAAGAUGAUGGAAUUUCCAUAAAAGAGGAGAUAAUUGUCACACCAUUGAUUCUUUUCUGGAGGCAGUUUUAUUUUGCUAUCCACUGUCAAUUCUAAGAUUCAUGGAGUUCUGGUUUAAGACAACUGACUUCAGGAUGGCUAAAGCAUGUAUAUUGUUUGAUUUUGACACAACUUGGGAUCAUGUUCUGAAGAAGAUAUGAGAGGCAGAGAAUGAAAAUGGGGUCCAUGAUAUUAUUCGUGCUAAUUUGCAUUUGGAACUUUUCAUGUUUUAACCCCAUACAGUUUUACUGCCUCUACGAAAAUCCUUCAAGUACCUUCCAUGAAUAGAAUGUGUUAUUUAAGUUAGCUACCUAACCCAUUCCUUCGAGCAUACUCGCUAAAAUGGACUUUUCUUAAAACUAGAUUGUCCCUUGUCCCUGAUUGCAGUUAUUCAUGGAUGAUGGAAAUUGUAUGGAAAAAUUUAUUAUUCACCAGUGUUUUGAUAAUGGGUUGUGGUUACAAUAAGGGGUGGCUUCUAUUGGAGAAUUUGAGCAUCUUCUUGUCUUGCUAGCAGUGCGCAAAGUUUUAUUCGAGGCCUCUUUUGGAGAGGCGUUGGAGUUUGGGGUGAUUCCUCUUUGCCAACCUAAAUGAUUGAUACUUGAUAGCACUUUUGUGGAGGUCCCCCAGUAGUAUGGAUCUCAUGGGUUUGACACAUUCUUUUCGACAGCUGACAUCUGGUUGGCGACCGUUCAUUGAAUUACUGUAUGAGCAUCCAAAGCUGCACCUGUCAAAAGCGAGUGUGACACACCAAGGAAAGAAUUUGUACAUGCAGGCACCUCCAGUGCUCGAAGAGAUGACUCGAUCAAAUCUCUCCCAACCAUU